rnacentral:piRNA from 1 species
UCACUGAACAAACAAAUUUGCAAGUGCAGA